CGCCCCCGCGCUGCUGAUUGGCCGGAGGGCGCAGGCUCCGCCCACAGCGGGGAGGAGUCUGUGGUCACGUGGUUUGUGUUUGAGCGGCCCGCGCGGCGGCGGAGCUAAGCAGGGUCGGUCGCGUUCCGCGGGAGGAUGGGUUACCCCGGGCGCACCCCCGGGCGCCCAGGAAGAUACCAAUUCCCACAUGGUUGUCGACUGCGACUCUCCCCAUGUUUGGUACUUACAUGGGUGCAAAAGGGCUUUCAGCAGCACCCUCACCCACCCAGGCUGAGCACGCAGGUGAGAGGGGACACCAGGAAGGGCAGGUGGCUCUUUGCCUCCUUCCCUCUCUCCCUCCCUCCUGCUGGCCGUGCAGCUCUGCUCCAAGGGGAUUGGCAUCACCAGCUGCAGCCCAAUACAGAAAACCUGCAGAGCUCUCCCCACCAGCCUGAGUGGGACAAGCAGCCACCACACAGGAGCCAGCACAGAUGAGGCAGCUCUCAAGGAGAGCUCCACCAGCCCUGCAGUCAUUACAGAGACACUCUUCCAUGAUUGCAGUAAUUCCACUUUAAUAAUUUAACUGCUACAAACACUCAUUGCACAGUCUGCUGCACACAACUCCCAGGUGGUUGAUGAUGAUGUUUUACAGUCUUAUCCAGGCUGAAAUCGACACUGAUGCAAGAAUUUCCUCUCCAGAAUUGCUCAUUACCCCACCAGCUCACUGGGUGGGAGGUUGUGGUGGCCACCAGCAGUAGGAGCAGCCAAGGCCACAGUGACCAUCCUCCCCAGCCACUGUGUGCACUUGUCAACGGCCAGAAAAGGUUUUGCUGCCCAGCCCUGAGAAAGUGCCAAGAGUAAUUUGGAAGGUUUGACAAUAGCCAGGCUACUGAAAGCCUGUUUCCUGGGGGAAACCAAUUGUGUGGUCAUUUUCCCCAGAGAUGCACAGAAAAAAAAUAGUGGGAAAAAAGUUUAUGAUGGGAAAUGUCAUUUCACUGGAUUUGUAAUCAUCAGGAUCAUGGGAGUCACAGAAUCAUAGAAAUUCUAGGUUGGAAGAGACCUUUAAGAUCAUCGAGUCCAACCCAUGUUCUAACACCUCAACUAGAUCAUGGCAGCAAGUGCCACAUCCAGUCUUUUUUUAAACUCUUCGAGGGAUGGUGACUCUACCACCUUCCUGAGUCACCUUUACUGACGGCUGGUGAUGCUGUCCAGUCCUGUGGGAAUGAGAGUGCCCACAGAAAUGCUGCCCUGAGUGGGGAUGUGGAGCAAGACAAGCCACACUAACCCUUAGCACAGCCUUAAAGGUAAGUCCUGAAACACUUUUUCAGCAUUUGGUGGUGAGACAGAGCCCAGGUGCCAUCCUCACCCUGUGUGUUGCUGGAUGCAUCCCAGAACUGAUUAGCAAAGUUUUCACAUGUAAGAAAUGUCAAAUGCUGUCGGUGCACACAAAGUGUCACUUCUUGAAAUCAUUUCACAGUGACUGAAAAUGUCCCCC
rnacentral:lncRNA from 1 species